AUUAUUAAAAAAAACAUGUACAAAAAAAAUUUAUUUAUUAAAAAACACUAUUAAAAUGACAAAAAUACCCUGCCACAUUUGAUACAUUAUUUUGAGUUACAUUUGAAGUUUUUUGUUUGAGAGACAUUUUUAUCCAGUUCUUUUUUUUUUUUUGGGUGAAGCUUAUGACACCAAAAAAUAUUGUUCAUUGAGCCCUUGACUUUAUAUAUAAAGAUAAGUCCUAAAACAAAAGGGAAUAUGAGAGAACUCUAAACUCCAUUGUAUAAGAGAACAAGUGACAACCAUAAAAGAUGUUUAAAUAACUACUACCAUCAAUUGAUGAUGUCAUUAAUGGUAAGUAAUGGUGCGAACAAAUAUUGAAGCUAUUUUCACUAACAGGUCAUUUUAGGGUGCAUUUGUUGCACCACACUAUCUCGAACUGGACUAACUUCAGGGAUUAAACUGGAUUGGUUUUGAAUGGACUAAGUAGUAUAAAGAUAAUGAAACAUUUGGUGCAGUGUCAGACUAAAUCAGAGAUUAAAUUAUUUUAGAGUUAAAAGACUUUUUUUUGUCAUUUUUAAUAUUUUAUUAUUGUUAAUACACACUUUUUUUAUUUGACUCUCUCCCCCAGUCUCACCACUUUUUUUCUUUGGUUUGCAUUCUAUUCUUCGAAAGCGCAUAUUUGCUCCCACUAAUAAUCAAACCCAGAAAACUCUCUCUUCCUUUCAUUUGCUUUCUCUACAAUUAAAACCCAUAUUUCUCUUCUUUUAAUUCACUUUCCCUUCAAAUCAAAUCCAGAAAAAUCCCUUCUUUUUUUUUUCAAUUUGCAGAGGCUCAGAUCGUUGGAUCUGUAAAUCGGCGACAUACUUGCAGACACAUCUUCUUGGCGGAGUGCUUGGCGGCCUCAAGGAGGACGCGACGGUCGGUGGCAUGUAAUCUGGAGCUGCGGGCAAGGCAUAUGAGAGAGCUGGAAAUUCGAAGGAAAUUAUGGAGAAGCUUUACAAAAUUAUUAUAAGCUAUGCGAUUAGAAACUUAUCCUAAUGAUUGAAGUUAUAUACUAUAACAUAGGCCUUAUCCACACAAGUAACCGAGAAAGGUGUGAUCGGUCUCAUCCCUGUGAUUGCAAGUUGAGGAAGAAGAAAAGCUUAAUGGCAGCAGGUUCGGGAUUUGUGGAAGACGAAGAGGAAGAUGACUGAGGAAGUUGAAGCCUCAGCACAUUGAUGAAGCGAAGCAAUGAUCUUAGCAAUCUCAUCCUUCUUGCCCUGCCUCGCUAAGCCUAGCUAGUGAAAAGUUUAGUCGGAACGAGUCCAAGCUAGUCCCAUUAAACUUAGUGUUGGCAUGCACCAAACAAAGAUUAAUAUUCUUAGCUAAGCCAGUCCAGUGAGACUUAGUGAGUGCAAACAAACACGCUCACCAAAUGUAGUCCAUAGUCAACACUAACUUUGUCUAGUUAAAGGGGAUCAAUUUAGAAAUUUAGAGCUCUAUAAAUGAUAUGGGAGUUAAAUCCCGCUUCAAUACUUGUCCAGGUUAUCAUUUAAUGUUGGUGACCUAACAAGUCUUCAUUUUUCAAAAUAUUAUGUAAUUAUUUGAAAUGUUUUACAAAUAUGAGAUCAAUUUAAAAUCAUCUCUAAGUUGAA